rnacentral:rRNA from 1 species
UACGGAGGGUGCGAGCGUUAAUCGGAAUUACUGGGCGUAAAGCGCGCGUAGGUGGUUUGUUAAGUCAGAUGUGAAAGCCCCGGGCUCAACCUGGGAAUUGCAUUUGAGACUGGCAGACUGGAGUCUGGUAGAGGGUAGUGGAAUUCCCGGUGUAGCGGUGAAAUGCGUAGAGAUCGGGAGGAACACCAGUGGCGAAGGCGGCUACCUGGACCAAGACUGACGCUGAGGUGCGAAAGCGUGGGUAG